UACGAAGGGGGCGAGCGUUGUUCGGAAUUACUGGGCGUAAAGGGCGCGUAGGCGGCCGAGCAAGUUAGAUGUGAAAGUCCUGGGCUUAACCUGGGGACUGCAUUUGAUACUGGGUUGCUUGAAUUCGGGAGAGGAUAGCGGAAUUCCCAGUGUAGAGGUGAAAUUCGUAGAUAUUGGGAAGAACACCGGUGGCGAAGGCGGCUAUCUGGACCGACAUUGACGCUGAGGCGCGAAAGCGUGGGGAGCAAACAGG
rnacentral:rRNA from 1 species